rnacentral:rRNA from 1 species
CACCCUGUGACAUACCUAAAACGUUGCUUCGGCGGGAACAGACGGCCCCGUAAAACGGGCCGCCCCCGCCAGAGGACCCCUAACUCUGUUGCUAUAUGUAUCUUCUGAGUAAACAAGCAAAUAAAUUAAAACUUUCAACAACGGAUCUCUUGGCUCUGGCAUCGAUGAAGAACGCAGCGAAAUGCGAUAAGUAAUGUGAAUUGCAGAAUUCAGUGAAUCAUCGAAUCUUUGAACGCACAUUGCGCCCGCCAGUAUUCUGGCGGGCAUGCCUGUUCGAGCGUCAUUACAACCCUCAGGCCCCCGGGCCUGGCGUUGGGGAUCGGCGAGGCGCCCCCUGUGGGCACGCGCCGUCCCCCAAAUACAGUGGCGGUCCCGCCGCAGCUUCCAUUGCGUAGUAGCUAACACCUCGCAACUGGAGAGCGGCGCGGCCAUGCCGUAAAACACCCAACUUCUGAAUGUUGACCUCGAAUCAGGUAGGAAUACCCGCUGAACUUAAGCAUAUC